GGGGGCGUACCGGUUUCGACGUAUAAGUUGGAGCCGGCGUGGCGCGCCGAGGACCCCGGUUGGCCUCGUUAAACGAUCCGGGAAAAACAAUAAAAGCCAACGAAGAACUGGCUCUCGCGGCUUAAGGCUGCGACGUCUCACUGCUGACACCUGCUAGGUGGCCGAGACGAUACAGCAGGUUGGUUCCGACUCUGGGUGGCCGGGAGAAGGAGCGAGAAAAUUCCGUGGCUGCUGGUUCGGCGGAUAGUUUGCUCACCGACAGUUCGCCGGACGAGAUUUAAAGGUGAGACACGCGCGUAGAAGCGACGGUAACUCUUGUGCGGACGCGGGUUCAAUUCCCGCCGCCUCCACCA
rnacentral:tmRNA from 1 species